AGUUUGAUCCUGGCUCAGGAUGAACGCUGGCGGCGUGCCUAAUACAUGCAAGUCGAACGCGCUGUGGCAAUUAUUGAGAAGCUUGCUUCAAUUUAAUUGCAAUGCAGCGAGUGGCGAACGGGUGAGUAACACGUGGGAAACCUACCUCUUAGCAGGGGAUAACAUUUGGAAACAGAUGCUAAUACCGUAUAACAACUUUUAUCGCAUGAUAAAAGUUUAAAAGAUGGUUCUGCUAUCACUAAGAGAUGGUCCCGCGGUGUAUUAGCUAGAUGGUGAGGUAAUGGCUCACCAUGGCGAUGAUACAUAGCCGAGUUGAGAGACUGAUCGGCCACAUUGGAACUGAGACACGGUCCAAACUCCUACGGGAGGCAGCAGUAGGGAAUCUUCCACAAUGGACGAAAGUCUGAUGGAGCAACGCCGCGUGUGUGAUGAAGGGUUUCGGCUCGUAAAACACUGUUAUAAGAGAAGAACGUCAGUGAGAGUAACUGUUCAUUGAGUGACGGUAUCUUAUCAGAAAGGGACGGCUAAAUACGUGCCAGCAGCCGCGGUAAUACGUAUGUCCCAAGCGUUAUCCGGAUUUAUUGGGCGUAAAGCGAGCGCAGGCGGUUAUUUAAGUCUGAUGUGAAAGCCUACGGCUCAACCGUAGAAUUGCAUCGGAAACUGGAUGACUUGAGUGCAGUAGAGGAGAGUGGAACUCCAUGUGUAGCGGUGAAAUGCGUAGAUAUAUGGAAGAACACCAGAGGCGAAGGCGGCUCUCUGGACUGUAACUGACGCUGAGGCUCGAAAGUGUGGGUAGCAAACAGGAUUAGAUACCCUGGUAGUCCACACCGUAAACGAUGAAUGCUAGUUGUUAGAGGGUUUCCGCCCUUUAGUGACGCGGCUAACGCAUUAAGCAUUCCGCCUGGGGAGUA
rnacentral:rRNA from 1 species